rnacentral:rRNA from 1 species
ACUCCUACGGGAGGCAGCAGUGGGGAAUAUUGGACAAUGGGGGAAACCCUGAUCCAGCCAUGCCGCGUGAGCGAUGAAGGCCUUAGGGUUGUAAAGCUCUUUCAGGUGGGAAGAUAAUGACGGUACCACCAGAAGAAGCCCCGGCUAACUCCGUGCCAGUAGCCGCGGUAAUACGGAGGGGGCUAGCGUUGUUCGGAAUUACUGGGCGUAAAGCGCACGUAGGCGGAUUGGAAAGUUGGGGGUGAAAUCCCCGGGGCUCAACCCCGGAACGGCCUUCAAAACUCCCAGUCUAGAGGUC